rnacentral:sRNA from 1 species
UGUUACAGAAAUUUCUAGGUUGUUUAUAAUUGCAGUACUGUGUAAAUAACACAUGUCUAUCAUACUUUGUAAACAGUUAAAAGUGAAAGCUAAAGUUCCUUAUAAAGAUGUUUAUCUGCCAGGUUUCAGCCUCACUUGACUGAAGUAGUACUUUCAAUUGGGGUAAUUAAGGAAUACGUAGAGAGUGUUUUGGAAGCAUAGUCAUUUUGAUUGGUGAUCCAAUAGUUUUAGCUCUUACUCUUGCUUCCUGGUUUAAUCUUGGUUUCAUAUUCUGCUUUUUGGCAGAAUGUAUUCUCCAUGAGCACUAGCUCUGUGGAGUAUAACUAUACACUUUGAAGAUAAAAGGCAGAAUGACCCAUUGUGUCUGGAAAACACAAGGGCAAGGCAGGUAAAGUUCUCUUUGUACAUGUGGAAACCUGAGACCUGGAGAACGACUCUCCAUGACUCCCCUCCACCCCACAACUAGAACCAGAAAUUGAUUGUGAUUCUUACAUAAUUACAUCAUGAAGUUUGCUACAAAUGAUGAAUGAAAAUGGAAGAAAGAAGACCUAAAGGAAGGUAAGAAAUGCAAUCGCUAAGAAUACAGGGACCUAGUCACAGGAGUCAUUCAUCUUGUCCCUCUAUUUACCUCUAUUUUCCUUGAUCAAUUAGUAGAGAGUCAUUUUUAAACAUUUAUUGACUUGUAUGAGCAUUUUAACCCACAUGUGUGCACCAUGUGUGUGCAGUGUUGCAGAGGCCAGGAGAGCGUGUUGGAUCGAUCCCCUGGAGCAGGAGCUGUGGAUCCCUGUGAGCCACCACAUGGGUUCUGGGAACCAAGCCCAGGUUAUCUCUAUGGACUGCAAUGUCCUUAACCACUCGGCCACUUCUCCACCAAUAGAGGAAAUGUUAGUCGUUCCAUAGGUCACACACUCCCGUAAAUCACUGUGAUCCAGUGUGAAACGUCAAAGCCAGACAAGGGGCAUCACAUGGUGUGGGUGCCUGAGUUUGGGCUGGAUAAGCGCAUCCUAUGAAGCAAAUUUAUGUUUCGAGUCUUGGCGAUGCUCCAGAGACAACACUGCCAGCAAUGACUUUUCUUCCAAAAAUCCAGAGAAUGCAGGGUGAGCUUAAUCUGGGCGCGGCUAAUUAUAUGUUUGUAAAGCCUCUGCUGCUUGUUCUUUCCUCUUUUGUUUAUUUUUAACACAAACGUAUACACUCUACCCACUGUGGUCCAACCACAGUUACAACCCCUGAACUUCCCGGGACUUUAUCUCUUGCAUUUAUUUAUCCAGCACCCGGCAAAUAAUUCACUGAGUUCUUGCAUGCAGUACACUUGAUCCCUGUCUUCGUAAAGUUUACAGUCAAACGGACGUACGGAGUUUACCGAGUCCUUACUAUGUCGUGCGUCGUGCUAAACGUUGCGUCUUCUCAUUGUUAUUCUGCGAUUCACCAUCAUGAAAUGACUUUCACUGCCAUUUUAUUAUGUAUCAUACACAAGCAAGCAGGAGACUGGAGAGACCAUAACGAUCAUUAUUAUUUGUUCACACUUGUAUUGAAAGAUUUGUGGAUUAAAGCGGGACACAGCCGUAGCAAGAGAUGAGAACAGAGAACAAGAUUGUCUCCUGAAUCGUCCAGUGUAUCCAUGCAGAAGCCAGUUUACGUGCUUCAUCUUCUCCUGAGUUAGGAAAACCAUGAGGUAUAAGUUUUAGGGGACAUUUCCACACAUACACUGUUUAAAGGGGGAAGGAGUCAACUGACAGAGACCCUUUCAGUUCCUUGGGAUUUUGUCUUCCUUUUGUUUAGACUUUUCAAAGACCAGCUAUCUGAGGGGUGGGGGAUAAUAAUGAUCAAAAAGAAGAAGACCAAGGAACUAUAACUUAUCCCUGGUGGUCCAGGUUACUUCCGGAUGUGGUGUUACGAGGCAAAUGUGAAACCUUCUAUCCUAGGUAAGCCACUGUGUGUGGAACACCAGUCCUCAACUGACAUCCUAAGUAAUGCACCCUCUUCCCACUUGAGUGAUUUUUAAAAUGUAGAUUAUUUAAAAAAACUUUAGUCCCUACUGCAAUGUGGCUUCUUGUCCUCCUAGAGGGCACCUGCCUCUCUGAGCACAUUGCUUACCUGCCGCUUCCAGUUGGUGGCACAAUAACUCUUCCUCCCAGCACCUUGAUUUCUGUCCUUCGUGUCUGCAUGGAGUUGUUGGUGUUACUUUUGUAUCAAGCUGUCACACACACCUCUACCAACACACAAAUCCAUUGGAGCAAGCACCUUGGCUGGUGUGCUUUCUGCUAAUCAGGACCUAAAUAAUGUCUGGUACAUAUGAGAACACCAACAAUUAUUUGUCACACGAAUAAAUGGCUUAAUAAACAUUUUCCUAUAAAAUACAAGACAUUAAAAUAAAACUUCCAUUUAUUUCAUGUAGGCCACACGACGGGAGCUACUAAAAUAUUGCAACAUACUUGUAUAUGAAACAUUUGUAGGUUUUUGUUGUUUCUCAUUCUGACACAGCUAUAAGAACAGUGAAGCCAAGCUAAACUAGGGUGCUGAGGUGUAUAAAAAUAAAACAUUUUGAAAUAAAAACUACUACAAGUCUACUGUUCCUUUGCUCCUGGGGAACUACAACAUACUUUUGGUGACAUAUUAUUAAACAAAAGAUUGCC